rnacentral:rRNA from 1 species
GUAAUGUCUGGGAAACUGCCUGAUGGAGGGGGAUAACUACUGGAACGGUAGCUAAUACCGCAUAACGUCGCAAGACCAAAGAGGGGGACCUUCGGGCCUCUUGCCAUCGGAUGUGCCCAGAUGGGAUUAGCUAGUAGGUGGGGUAAUGGCUCACCUAGGCGACGAUCCCUAGCUGGUCUGAGAGGAUGACCAGCCACACUGGAACUGAGACACGGUCCAG